rnacentral:tRNA from 1 species
UCAUUUAACAGUAAUAUGUUUUGAAAACAUAAGAUAGAAUAUAAAAAUUCUAAUGAUUU